UGGAGUUGAAGAAUGAAUAGUUAUAGUUUUCCUUAGUUAUGAUAAAAGAUAAAGUAGAUAUAAAUAUUGUAACUGUAAUUCUUACUUGAUAACUGUUUUGUUAUAUGUAAUUUUACUAUGUUAAAGUUAAAGCCUUUCUUUUUUGUUUAAACAGAAAAAGGGGAAAUGAUGGAGGUGGGUCUUGUAUCUUAUCUGUUGAUUUCAUUGGUUAAUAAUAAAGAAACUGCCUCGGCCCUCAUAGGACAGAAAAUUAGGUAGGCGGAGUAGACAGAGGAGAAUGCUGGGAAAAAGAAGCUGAGUGAGUGAGUCGCCAUGAUGCUCCCACUCCAGACAGACGCAGGUUAAGAUCCUCCCUGGUAAGCCAGCUCGUGGGCUACACAGAAUAUUAGAAAUGGGUUAGAACAAUAUGUAAGAGCUAGCCAUAAGGAACUGGAACUAUCCGGGCCAGGCAGUGUUUGAAAGAA